GACGAACGCUGGCGGCGUGCUUAACACAUGCAAGUCGAACGGAAAGGCCCUGCUUUUGUGGGGUGCUCGAGUGGCGAACGGGUGAGUAACACGUGAGUAACCUGCCCUUGACUUUGGGAUAACUUCAGGAAACUGGGGCUAAUACCGGAUAGGAGCUCCUGCUGCAUGGUGGGGGUUGGAAAGUUUCGGCGGUUGGGGAUGGACUCGCGGCUUAUCAGCUUGUUGGUGGGGUAGUGGCUUACCAAGGCUUUGACGGGUAGCCGGCCUGAGAGGGUGACCGGCCACAUUGGGACUGAGGUACGGACCAGACUCCUACGGGGGGCAGCGGUGGGGAAUAUUGCACAAUGGGCGGAAGCCUGAUGCAGCGACGCCGCGUGCGGGAUGACGGCCUUCGGGUUGUAAACCGCUUUCGCCUGUGACGAAGCGUGAGUGACGGUAAUGGGUAAAGAAGCACCGGCUAACUACGUG
rnacentral:rRNA from 1 species